rnacentral:rRNA from 1 species
UACAGAGGGUGCGAGCGUUAAUCGGAAUUACUGGGCGUAAAGCGUGCGUAGCCGGUUAUUUAAGUCGGGUGUGAAAGCCCCGGGCUCAACCUGGGAAUUGCAUUCGAGACUGAAUAGCUAGGGUACGGUAGAGGGAAGCGGAAUUUCCGGUGUAGCGGUGAAAUGCGUAGAUAUCGGAAGGAACAUCAGUGGCGAAGGCGACCUCCUGGACCAAUACUGACACUCAAGUGCGAAAGCGUGGGGAGCAAACAGG